AUUGAACGCUGGCGGCAGGCUUAACACAUGCAAGUCGAACGAGUGGCGGACGGGUGAGUAAUGCUUGGGAAUCUAGCUUAUGGAGGGGGAUAACUACGGGAAACUGUAGCUCAUACCGCGUACCCUAGGAUGAGCCCAAGAGGGAAUAGCUAGUAGGUGGGGUAACGGCUCACCUAGGCGAGGAUCUCUAGCUGGUCUGAGAGGAUGAUCAGCCACAUUGGGACGUAGACACGGCCCAGACUCCUACGGGAGGCAGCAGGGGGGAAUAUUGCACAAUGGGCGAAAGCCUGAUGCAGCCAUGCCGCGUGUAUGAAGAAGGCCUUAGGGUUGUAAAGUACGUUUAGCUGGGAGGCGUUACCCGCAGAAGAUGCACCGGCUAACUCCGUGCCAGCAGCCGCGGUAAUAC
rnacentral:rRNA from 1 species